CAGUCAAUGCAGUAAAAGUAUGAAAGUAUGAAAAUCAAAUGAUAUGAAUGUUGUUUAAGGCAAACAUAUAUUUACAAUUAAAAUAAUUUAUGAUAAAAAAAAACUAUUUAUUCCAGCGUUAUGCUCGCUGUUAUUCACUCACCUGGCCACGCCCACUUGAUCAGUCAUUUCCUGGUUCCCUCGUGCUCUUCGGGCUGAUGAUCAUGAUCAUCUUCACCUGCACUCAGCGGCGACGUCACCUGUUGUUCAGCCAACAUCCUGUGCAGCAGUGUGAAGGCAGCGUCUGAAGCAGGAGGGUGACUCUGAAGGGAUGCGGCCUCGUGGGUGUGCAGCCCCAGCCGCCCAGCAGGGGGCAGCGUCCACCAAGUCACGCAGCGAUGGACGAACAAGCUUGGACUUCUGGGUCAAAUCACAGUGAUUCCAAAUGGUCGGGUCGACUUACUGAAAGCCAGUGCUGAUCGAUCAAUCAUUCAGUCACUUGGACCCGAAGACGAAGGCGCGGGAUCGAUGAAGUUAUUGCUUUUGAUCCCGCGAGGGCGCGACCGUCCAGACGAGGAACACGUCGUCCGGCUCUGGAUGCAUCGCUGCCUCUCUGCCCGUCGUUGGUGACCUUCAGCUGGACUCUGAUGCAGUGGGACGUCAAGCCGCCGAGCUGCAGCGUGUCACCAGAACGAACGGCCGCUGCUCCCAGAGCGACGCGUGGAUACAUCACCGCCGCAGGCGUCCCGCCCCGUGGAGCGGCGAAGAGCAGGCGAUGCUGGAAUCAGCCGCGGCGGCCGCUCAUCAGCUGACGGCGUGGAGCCGUGGAUGCAGACAGGCCGGCGCUUCACGCGCGGCAGGAGUUACGGCUUCAGACCAAACUUCCCAGGGAUUCACCGCAGCUCAGGUCCAACACCAGCUGCCGCGAGAGGCUCCACACCAGUACCCGUUUACCCGCCAGCAUCCGUGCGUCCAUCUCUAACAAUACAUUCAGGCUUCGCCCCGCGGUUCAAGCGCCGUUUGAUAAACAUCCCUCGGCUCCUUCAGUGAUUAAUGACGGUUAACGAAAUUGAAUUAAGGUUAAGAAAGACACGGCUGCGGCAGGGGGGCGGUCAGAGGGGGGGGGGCAGCGGCCGCUUGAAGGUAGCAAGUGCGGUAAAUAACUUCUUUAGAGGAAAUAUACGGCGGCCCCUCCUCCGCGCCCUCGCUGCCACGCCGAGUAAUUACUCGCCCCGGCCUCCUGUAAUAAUUCCUAUUACAAGCAGAACGGAAGAGUCGGUAACUCAGCGCGCGGGACAAGGUGAAGGCAAGGCCACGGAGCAGCGGAUCAAUAUUUCAUUUACUCACCCUGCUCCGCCAUCCCGGGCCUGGAUCAAAUUCAGCAACAGAGGCAGAUGGAGGGAGCGAGCGGGCGAGAAAACGGGAGGAGAGGAAGAAGAAAAGAAACAAGGUCCAUGGAAACGACGACACGCGGCCUCUAAUUUCCUCUGGGUUUUGGGAGGAGGAAGAAGGGAAGCACAGGCUGUGGAGGUGGUGAUUGUAGAGGUCAGGUGUGUGUGUGUGCGUGUGUGUGCGUGUGUGUG